AACGGCAGCACGGGGGUAACCCUGGUGGCGAGUGGCGAACGGGUGAGGAAUACAUCGGAACGUAUCUUUAAGUGGGGGAUAACGCAUCGAAAGGUGUGCUAAUACCGCAUAAUCUCUGAGGAGAAAAGCAGGGGAUCGCAAGACCUUGCGCUUUUGGAGCGGCCGAUGCCUGAUUAGCUUGUUGGUGAGGUAAAAGCUCACCAAGGCUUCGAUCAGUAGCUGGUCUGAGAGGACGACCAGCCACACUGGGACUGAGACACGGCCCAGACUCCUACGGGAGGCAGCAGUGGGGAAUUUUGGACAAUGGGGGAAACCCUGAUCCAGCCAUGCCGCGUGAGUGAAGAAGGCCUUCGGGUUGUAAAGCUCUUUCAGCCGGAACGAAACGGUUACGGUUAAUACCCGUGACUACUGACGGUACCGGAAGAAGAAGCACCGGCUAACUACGUGCCAGCAGCCGCGGUAAUACGUAGGGUGCGAGCGUUAAUCGGAAUUACUGGGCGUAAAGCGUGCGCAGGCGGUUUUGUAAGUCAGAUGUGAAAUCCCCGGGCUUAACCUGGGAA
rnacentral:rRNA from 1 species